CUGCAGCCAAGUUAAACUGAUGAAAUCCUAUAACUUGUGGGGGCCCCAUGUGCAACUAAAACUUCUGGGUAGUAUAUGCAGCCUGCCUACUUGAAUGGGUUGCCCUAAGGGACCUUAGAGACAGCC
rnacentral:snoRNA from 1 species